rnacentral:misc_RNA from 1 species
GUCGAAGGUGGGGCUGAUGACUGGGGUGAAGUCGUAACAAGGUAUCCGUACCGGAAGGUGCGGAUGGAUCACCUCCUAACAGGGAGACAAAACAAUGAUUUUGAUGUCUGAGUAUUUUAUUCUUAGGCCGAAAUCCUGUCACCUUAGGUCGAUCGGUACCUCAACAUUUUUCCAAAGAUUGGUGAGCAAUCAUCAAGAGAUUGGAAGGGAUGUUCAGUUCCUAAACUUUGUCUAGGUCACACCCCGCAAGGGAAGAGUCCCCUGGGCCAUUAGCUCAGGUGGUUAGAGCGCACCCCUGAUAAGGGUGAGGUCCCUGGUUCAAGUCCAGGAUGGCCCAUUCGGUGUUGGGGGUUUAGCUCAGUUGGUAGAGCGCCUGCUUUGCAAGCAGGAUGUCAGGAGUUCGAGUCUCCUAACCUCCACUGACAGAACUCAAUCUCCAUUGUCCGGUAACUCGGAGGAUGAACUCAAAGGUGUGUGAUUUAGAUGUGUCCACUAGAUAGGACCCUAGCUUCCUGUCAUUCCGAACAAGUGAUUAUUGCUUGAUUGGCUGAUAUGAUGCUGGGCUCAGAUUAAUCGAAAGAUUAAUUUGAUCUCUAGUAGAACCUUGACAACUGCAUAAGUAAGUCUGGAAAAACGAAGCAUCUUACAGAUGCAUUGUUUUAAGUCUGAAUUCUCGAAAGAGAGUUUAGAUCUAGAAUGAUGAAAAUUCUUUUAAGCAAGAGCCGAGACUCUUAGAUGUUCUUUUUAUCGUGUCGAGCGAUAAAGAGUUUGAUUUUGUUUUUAUGAGCAGCGAAAGUUGCUGAUAAAACCAGAAGAAUCUGCUUUCAACCGCAGUAAGCGUUUAAGAGGUUAAUUGGUCAAGCUACAAAG